CACAGAUUGAGAUGGCUCAGAAGUUGUUGAAUUCAGAUCUGGCCGAGUUAAUAGCGAAGAUGAAACUGGCCCAACAGUAUGUCAUGACAAGUUUACAAAAGGACUACAAGAAACAGAUGCUAAUGGCAGCUCACGCCCUCGCAGUGGACGCCAAGAACCUGCUGGACGUCAUCGACCAAUCACGACUCAAGAUGAUCCGCCCACACUAGCUCCUGUUGGAGAGGGAGAGUGUAGUAGCUCUCAGCCAAUCACAAAGAGGAGAGGACAUUUCUAGAUGGAUAUCACUGAUGGACGGAUGAAAAAAUGAACUGAAAGCAGACAUGACUAAAACAAUCCGCUCGCUCUCCUCUUCCUCCAAACAUUCAUAACCUUUUCUUCUCUCUGGCCACGGUCAUGUUUUGGUCAAUAUUCUGUUUUUUUGUACUUUUUUGUUGCAUUAUUUGCUUUUGUAUUCAGCUAAACGCUCCUCUCCCCAUCACGUGUCGCCAGAGAUACGUUUUUUGUUUUUCAAAUCAUCCAUUACUUCUUUUUAAUCUUUGAAGAAAGUCGAUCAAACGAAGAUUUCCGAGGCUCGCUUGAAGGACACGACUAACACUCUCCACAUGUGCAGGAUGUAACAACUGGAACUGAAGAACCAGAAUGAGGAGGAUCAUGAAGAUGAUGUUGUUUAAACAUGCUUUUAUAUCAUUAUUCAUUAUAAUUAUUACUAUGUUCAGCCUUGACUUUUACAGCAUGUCUCCAUGUUCAGUCCUCUUCUUGAAUGUUCAAUAGGCAAAGAUAAUUGAUUUACAGCUGCUCAUAAACAUCAUAAUUUCAUAUUUUUCUUCGAUGUUCUUUUAUCUAGAUCUCUUUAUCUCAGGCAUUAAGAGUUGGCAUAACACAGAAAUAUGAAAGAAGAACAAUCUAAAUGUCACAGACCACUUUUUAAGUACAUAUACAAAAAGCUAUAUUUUUAACACUUCUGAGGCAUGAAUUGUUGGUGAAUAAGGGGGAAGGGGGGCAGAGGGCUGAGAAGGAUUUUGAGUUACAUUGGAGUUUCUAAUUAUACUGUACAGUAGGUCACCCUGUGUCAAAUGCACUUAAAAGGAACGUUUCACUCAAACUAUAUUGGUUUCCUCAACAAUUCAAUGUUUUCUGGAGCAACUCGCCUAUUUUUACAGAAGUUUCUACAAAAAUGUAAAUUAAUGAUUUCUCUAUUGAUGUUUUGGUAUAUUGAAACCAAAUUGGUUUGUUGCGGGUCCCUUCAUCAUACUCGGACAGAUACACACCUUUAAACUACAGCAUGGGUUGGUGGUCAGGUUCAUAGAGGUUCCUCUUUGAAAUGGUUCAUGUCCACAAUCAUUUGCUCUUCAUCUCCUCUCAAUCAGUCCUUAUAUCCCUCCCUGUCUUUCUACCUCCAUCCACUGGAGUUAUUUAUACCUUUUAUCCCCUUUCUUCUUCUGCUCUGUCACCCACACAUUUCUAUCCCACCCGGCCUCUCUGAUUCUCUCUCCAUCCCACUGUUCCCUUUCUACUGAGGUGAGCAGCAUUCUCAGGAAGGAGUCACAUGUACAGUUGCUAAACCAAGCAAAUAAAAACACUGUCUUUAAGAAAUA